rfam:Brachypodium distachyon strain Bd21 chromosome 4, whole genome shotgun sequence.
AUUGUAAUCCCUCCGUCCAACAAGAGAUGUCUCAAAUUUAUCAAAAUUUGGAUGCAUCUAGACAUGACUUAGUGUAUAGAUGCAUUCAAAUUUAGUCAAAAUUUUGAGACAUCCUUUGUUGGACGGAGUAAAUAGUAA